AGACUAUCGCUAAAAGUGUAAACAUGGCUUCACCACCGCAUCAUGACCGGACGACUAAAUCACUGGAAGACGACGAUGAAGACGAAUUAGACAGAGUUGAACUCAUGUUAAAACGGGCUGGUUGCCUAGAACUUCAUUAUAAAGUACAGGAGUGCAUGGGUGAGCAUAAUGACUGGCGCAAAUGUCAACAAGCUUUGAAAGAUUUUAAAGAAUGUUUUAACGUAGCCAAAAAAGAGGAUACUCAAUGACGGGAAUUUCCAGUUAGUAUUUUGUAAGUAUGCAAUUAUAUGAUCUUAAUCGUAUCCGGUCAUAUACACGUAUAGACACAAGCUGUGCUUGUACAUGCGUAUAGGUAUCGGAAAUUAAACUUCUUUUCUUCAGUAGUAAUUAACGUAUAUUUAUGCAUUAUCUUACAAAUAGAAAUCAGGACGCACAUGUUAACUUAUGUGACCUCUGUAUCAUUAAAUCAAAUUAAACUUGUAAUUCUGUUAUAUUUUACAUGAUUUGUUUUAUAAUUAUAGUCGAACAGGCUAGAAUAGAUGGGAAUAAACAACUGUAUUUAUUUCUUGACUGCUGUUUUAUUUUAUCAAUACCCGGAAAGAUAAAAUUCGACCUUGGUGGGAUUUGAACUCAAAACGUAAAGGGACACAACUAUAUAAUCACAGUGAUAUUGCUGCAGUGUGUUUGCAGGUAGAUAAAGACCAUAUUUUCAGUGAAACCUUCUAUAGUGGUAUUUUUGUUUUAAAUUUAUUCUUAUCGUAGUAACCAUUAUGAUACGCAUACUAUUGUAUGAAAAUUGUGUGCUUGCAAACGACUGGGUCUGUGUAAGGUGACUACUAUUCCGAUGAAGUAGUACGUCUACUGAAAGUUAUUGCAUUAAAACACUUCUAAGUAUUUCGACAAGCCUACCAAGGAGUUUCUACUCCAGACAUAGGGGACUUACCAGACAAGUACAUAUCCGAAAUUAUUAGAUGUUGCUAAUCAUAAAUCGGGUGACGACACUAACAUAAUCAUUUAACAAGCAUAACACAUAAUACAGAGUUGUAAAUCGGUGAAUUAUAUAACUCGUUGAUAUUAUUAGAGGAAAGAAUGUUAGCUAAAAAUAAUGCGUACAAUUUCUGUUUUAUUUUGCAUCCAUUUUGUGAGAAUUAAGGGCACCUGUUAUCCUCGCGGGCCUUCGACUUUUAUAUUUCAGCAGUAAGUAAGGAAACAGAAUUAAAAGAAAAUGUUUUUAAAAAUGUCAAAAUUUCAAUCGGAUUUCAUUUGAAUAAAUCUUUAGAUCCGGCAGUUUUAAAUUUGGAACCCCAUUUUCACACGAAAUACUUAACAGUGAUGUGGAAAAACAGUAGUAACUGCUUUCAGCUGAGCAAUCUAUCAAAUAAUGACAUUGGAAUAUUUCCUGCACUUAACUAUAUGCUCUUUAUGCUGAAGGUACUCUUGGGGGAAUUUUCCACUGUUAAAACUUUUCGGCAUUGGCUAACAACAAUAAGUUUUUUUUUCAAUUGAGCAGCCUAAGAACAUUAGAUUAUGUUACAAAAUUUUUAUAUAAAAGUGUCAUACAGAAAGUCCAAAAGUGCUGCAUUCAGCAGGGUGCAACAGGUUGCCUAUGCUUGCUCAAAUUGUUAAGGAAAGUCUGAGAUAGGCACUAUAUGAUCAGAGCUGGAACUCAGCAACAACGUCAGUUCAUGCAUGCUUAUGUAAGCAUACAAAAGAAGAGAGGUUUCUGAAAUUAUAGUAAUAUCUUCCUCAAGCCCACAGGUUCAUAAGACUAGAACUUAUCAAGGUUUCCUUGGUAUUUAAAUGAACGAUAUUACAAGACUCCACUCUGAAUGAGAUGUCUUUCCAUUGCAGAAUUAUCCUCGAGCUACUCUUGAUUCUCAUUUCCAGUCGAAUGGACUAGAUCAACAUAAAAUGAUGUGCCUUAUUCAAGGACAUGAUGUGUUGCCUAGUCUGAGAGUCAAACCCACAAUAUGAUUGUAAGACUAACCCUAACUUUCAUCUGAUUGAUAUAACUGAAGUAUUUACUGGUUCUACACAUGCUUGUAAUUAAUAGAAUAUUCUUGUUUGGUUGAUGCAGUGAAUACUACUCCAUGUUCAUAUUUUUGUAGGAGAACUGUAUUUAAACUUUGAGUAUCAACUUCAAAUAGCGAUCUGGGGAAGCUGGCUGGGGAAUUAGCAGUUUAAUUGUGAGGAGUAUGGCUGAUCUGAAGAUCAUCUAUGAUGCUGCAACAGUGAUAAUAAUGUCUUAUAAAGUAGCAAAUUUGGGGAUAGGGGUAUAUUCGAUUUAGUCAAUCUCACAAUUUAAAUGGCACUAAUUUUUAUCAUUUCAGAAGGAAAUUUUCUAGAAGUUGAUUCCAAUGGAAUUUGAACACAGAACUAAAUACCACAAUCUUUCUGUCAAUUGAUUGUGUUACUCACAUCCUCAUAAUAAUUAUGGUAAUGAUUUCUAACAAAUCCACAAGACCUCAAAUUUUGUAUGGGCACCAAUUAUAGAAAGCUGAAGAAAUUUUCUUCUAAAAGACAGAUUAAUUUACAAGAUGCGGUGCUUAUUCUGAAACUUCUUCAUCAAUUGAAUCAACUAUUGGACUGUAUCUUAUCACCACAACUCUAAAAGGAUGAAAGAUCAAGUUACAUCCAUUCCUCCUGCUAAUAAUAAAACUUGCAGAUUUGAUAUGUAUGUUGUACUAUAGACUGUCUACAACAGUCUCAUAAUCAUAUAAAAAUCUGAGAUAGGUAAAAUUUUACAAGAAAUUUUGUAUAUGUCUUGUUUUCUGACAGAAUAAUGUCUGAAAUUUGUGUCAUUGCAAGAGGUGUGAAAACUGUUUACAAGUGGAAAAUCAGGGAAUUUUUGAUAUUGUUUUGCUGUUACUCUUCACUCGUUUAUUAAAAAAAAAUUAUAAAUUUAAAAAAAAAAUAAAAUAUAUUUUUUCCAAU
rnacentral:lncRNA from 1 species